rnacentral:tRNA from 1 species
CAUCUUGUUAGCUCAGUUGGAAGAGCACAAGGCUCUUAACCUUGUGGUUGUGGGUUCGAGCCCCACGAUGG